rnacentral:tRNA from 1 species
GGCUCGUUGGUCAAAUGGUUAAGACACUGGUCUUUCUAACCAGUAUUGGUGGGUUCGAUUCCCCCACGGGCUA